rnacentral:tRNA from 2 species
GCCCGGGUGGUCUAGUGGUAUGAUUCGCGCUUAGUAAGACUUUCUAAUCGGAUCAAAUUCCACUUUACAAUUUACUAACAAACUCUUCAGGGGUUCACCCAAAGCAAUAUUGCGCGAGGUCCCCGGUUCAAUCCCGGGCUCGGGCC